rnacentral:rRNA from 1 species
UACGUAGGGUGCGAGCGUUAAUCGGAAUUACUGGGCGUAAAGCGUGCGCAGGCGGUUCGUUGUGUCGGCGGUGAAAGCCCCGGGCUUAACCUGGGAAUGGCCGUUGAAACUGGCGAACUGGAGUGUGGCAGAGGGGGGUGGAAUUCCGCGUGUAGCAGUGAAAUGCGUAGAGAUGCGGAGGAACACCGAUGGCGAAGGCAGCCCCCCUGGGCUAACACUGACGCUCAGGCACGAAAGCUAGGGGAGCAAACAGG